AAAAUUGGAAUGAUAGAGAGAUUAGCAUGGCCCCUGUGCAAGGAUGACACACAAAUUUGUGAAGCAUUCCAUAAAAAG
rnacentral:snRNA from 1 species